UAUUGACUAAAUCGCGCUAAUAGUGUAUUCAAAUAUUAACCACUGGUUGUGCAGAACUGUUAUUAACAACAAAAAUGUCGAAAAUGGUGAUUUCUCUUCUCCUUGCUGGUUUGGUUGUUAUCCCAACUGCUGAGGCAGGACAUGGUUGCCCAAAUGAUUGGAAGUGUGCACAGUAAUUUUGUAGACUGUCAUGUUAUGGAGGUUAUUGUAAAUGGUGGACUGUAUGCACAUGUUCAAUGUGUUAUAAACCAGAAGGUAGACGUUCAGUCGAAAAUGAAGUUGAACUUGGUAUGUAAUCACUUAAGUUAUAAAUACUGUAGUUA